ACCCCCCACCCCCUGGCUCCUGUUUCCUGCUAGUCCAGCUCUUCCCCUAGGAAAGGCUGCUGGUAACUGGGAUGGGGGUUGGGGGGAGGUAAGAAGUCUCUGACUCCUCCUCUACCUCAUCCCAGUUCCAUCACCUGAAGUGGACCUCUUGGGACCGUCUGAAGGUACCAGCUGGGCAGCCUGAGAGGACCCUGGAGUCGCUGCUGGCUCAUCUUCAGGUGUGCCCUGUUGCUACCCCAACCCCCAGGCUCAGCCCAGCCCGGCCCAGCUGGUGUCUGACCUUUCUCCUCUAGGAGCAGCACGGGUUGAGGGUGAGGAUCCUGCUGCACGGCUCAGCCCUGCUCUAUGCGGCCGGAUGGUCACCUGAAAAGCAGGCCCAGCACCUGCCCCUCAGGGUGACAGAACUGGUUCAGCAGCUGACAGGCCAGGCACCUGCUCCUGGGCAGCGGGUGUUGGUGCUAGAGCUGAGCUGUGAGGGUGACGACGAGGACACUGCCUUCCCACCUCUGCACUAUGAGCUGUGACAAGGCAGCCACCCUGUCACCUAGCUCAAUGGAGCCCCGGAUCCCAAGCCCUGCAUUGUAAGCCCACAGUAGGCACUCAAUAAA
rnacentral:lncRNA from 10 species